AUUGAACGCUGGCGGCAGGCCUAACACAUGCAAGUCGAGCGGAUGAAGGGUGCUUGCUCCUGGAUUCAGCGGCGGACGGGUGAGUAAUGCCUAGGAAUCUGCCUGGUAGCUGGGGAUAACGUCCGGAAACGGGCGCUAAUACCGCAUACGUCCUGAGGGAGAAAGUGGGGGAUCUUCGGACCUCACGCUAUCAGAUGAGCCUAGGUCGGAUUAGCUAGUUGGUGGGGUAAAGGCCUACCAAGGCGACGAUCCGUAACUGGUCUGAGAGGAUGAUCAGUCACACUGGAACUGAGACACGGUCCAGACUCCUACGGGAGGCAGCAGUGGGGAAUAGUGGACGAUGGGCGAAAGACUGAUCCAGCCAUGCAGCGUGUGUGAAGAAGGUCUUCGGAUUGUAAAGCACUUUAAGUUGGGAGGAAGGGCAGUAAGUUAAUACCUUGCUGUUUUGACGUUACCAACAGAAGAAGCACCGGCUAACUUCGUG
rnacentral:rRNA from 1 species